ACUGCUUGAGACUGAUCAACUCUCGGGAAAUGUACUUGCUCUACCGCAACAUUCCGGCGUCUAAUUCGAUUUGGAUUGGUCUGAAACAUACAAGUACUUGGACUUGGGACUUUCCGAGUAGCUCAUGCACUCCCCCUGCCAAUGUCCCCCCUCUCUGGCAGGCGGGUGGCAACUUGGCUGGUUCCCAAUCCUCCAAGCCGUGCGCUUACCACAGUUCUGACGCUGCAAGCUUCGGACUGAUGAAUGUUGCCUGCACGUCUGCAGCGGCGGGCACAGUGUGCAUUAUAUAAAAUUAUUGGGACUUCGACCACAAAGCUCGCAUUUGCUCAUUGGGAAAAGAGGAAAUUCCAGCUAAUUGAGCAUAUUGAUAUUUAGCCAAUCUAUUGAAAAAAGAAGGAACGUUUAUACGCUCCAAACUUUUCAUAUAAAAUGAAUGAAAAUACUAUGAAAAUAUCCGUCUAAAUAUUGGAAUCUCUUGUCAUUCAAAAUGCAGCGACAAUAUCCGCUUGAUGCUUUCUCUGUAAACUUCAGAAAUUGUUUCUGCAUACAACACAUAAUAACGACGCAUUAUCCACUUCUGCUCCACAUGAAUGCUAAGUCUGAACAAUUUGCUGAAUUAUCUUCUACCCAACAACACCGUUUCGGUUGCGAAAUUAUAAUUAAAGUGGCCGAGGCUUAA